CGCUCCCUGAGAGCCGAGGAAAGUUUGCACGCGUAUUUUUAUAAAUGUUGGCGGCUCAGUGAUGACGAGAAAGAAAAAAUCAUUUGAAGGAAAAAAAAUUCUCCUGGUGGUGUAUUUUUUUCUAUAUCACUGAUUACGGCCGUGUGGGGACCGAGCUACUAUUAAACUAUUGAAUCAUGGAGACAAGGUUGAAAUUGGACCGAAUUGCCUGUCACAUGAUUACCUCUGCCCAAUGACAAUUUGGGGUUUAAUCAAAAGAAGCCACUGUCUGCCUGAUUGAUCCAAAAACUCUUGGUGAAGAACGCCGCGCACAGCUGGGGCACGACUGUUUUAUUUACAUCUUUGUCCGCUGAGUUUAUCCUCCUCUCGCCCCUCCAGUCCAGUCCACUAAGCUACAAAAUGUGUGUUUUUAAGAAUGGCUGACGCUCACUAUUACAGGGAAGGAGCCCAGCCUAGGGUGCGCGGAUUCGUGCACUCCUCUUUCUCGUAUUGUUUGAGGAUGUCAGUCGAGAACGCCCCCACACCACACACACACACACACACACACACACACACACACACACACACACACACACACACACACACACACACACACACACACACACACACACACACACACACACACACACACACACACACACACACACACACACACACACACACACACACAUUUCACGCCAGUAGCUAUUCAUAUAGGCAAGACUUCAGAGGUGGAAAUAACCCCCCAAAAAUGAUAUUCUCGACAGAAACAAACCCAACAAUCCAGUCUGUUCACUGAGAGGAGACACCAGAAUACAUGAGGGUCUUUAAAGACGCAUAAUAAUGACAUAUGCAGUGCGUCCAUUGGCAUGUGUUGCAAUAAAAAGCCCAUCCAUUCACUUAAUACUGACGGAUAUGACACGUUCAGACCGUUCCAUCCCAUAACAGCAGUUUAACGUUUACAGCUAUUGUGCAGAAAGUUGUAAAACGGCCACACACGCCUGUGCGCACCCACAAACAGUCUUGUUUUAUUAUGUGCCAUUACGCGCAUUGUAAAUCUAUCAUAUUAAAGCACGUAAGAUUUUCGUUUAUUCCACUAAAGGUCAGUUUUGUAACCAGGUCAUGCUCGCCCCUGUGCGUGCACCUCCCCACAAACACGAGAUUAAACACACAGGAGCUGUUUCCUUUUCUGCUUUUGGGGUUGAGAAUUUUCGAUAACUAAAAGCCACAAUAACUCCUGCCUUCUCUUAAGUGUCAUCCCAGUGUUAGAAAUGGGUUUGUUUUCAUGGUAAUAGCGGGAAGUCACAAGGCUAAAGCAGGAUUUAUUGGAGGGACGCUGGCUACAGUGCUGAGGAAGGCUUCCCACUGUAUAUCCAUUAUCAGUUCUCACCUGAAAUUGCAACGAAGCAAACAUCAACACAGUUACAAUCGACCAUUUACAACGAAUCCAUUUGCAGCGUUAUUAUGUAGAUGGGGCUGUUAUUGAAUUGCUCUUCCCCGCCGUGUUUGGUUUCAUAGUUCUUCCAGAAUAAUCUGUGAAAGCCACAUUUGGGAUGUUUUUCGUCAGGCAAGUACGUGUUGUAUUUUCAUUCAAAGAAAAAAAAUAUGGCUUAGUGAGCAGGAGAAGGAAGAAGAGAAGUGGAAGGCCUCUCUCUCAGUUUGUUGCUUAUAUACCAAACAAAGAGUCCUGGAAGCCUGUGCGCGAUCAAUCUUACUCGCCAAAAGGUCUGACAGCUCGGUGCCCUCACAACACAUUUAAGGCUUCUAACUCUCCCCCGGAUCAAAUGCAGCCAGGAAGCGGCGAGAAACACUGGCCACUCAGAUUAGAACCCGUUUCUGCUCGCAGUUAGAGUCUGCUUGUCGCUGGAGGGAUGUUUUAAAAAGACAAAUAAGAAUCCAGCUGCACAAGAUGCGACCGUUUCCUUUUUCUGAGAGGGCGGUAAUGCGCCAACGAAUCUCCAGAAGGGCCCGGGUGACAUUUUAUUAUUAUGGAUGUGCCCACGCAGAUGAGAGGAGGGGAGAAGGGCCACACGAGAGUUUUCUACACGUCGAAUCAAGAGGAAAGGGGAAAAAAAUCAAGUAGCCUUUAUCAAAUAUUUGACUUUAACUGCGGCCACUUCCCUUUUUGGAAUUGAAUUAUAAUUAUGGUUAAUGAUUCUACUUUAUAUAUAAGCAAAAAAUACAAAUAUAUGACCAUCCAUUGUUUAUUAUUGUUGGACAUUUUUGCUUUAUUUGCCCUUUCUUGUGGUGCAAAUUAUCUUAAAAUAUAUCUGAUUUUUCACCUUCUGGUUGUUAUACCAGGAUUAUCUAUUAAAUAAUAGCAAGGAAUAAUAUUUUUACUUUUAAAAAUUUUAUAACUGUCUUGUAUUUAAUUGUGUGACCAUGUUGAAUGUUUCUGACAAUUAAAACUGAAGGAUAUUCUUUCAUUAUAUUUCAAUUCUUUUAUUUAUUUCUUCGAACUGGAGCAGCAUGGAAUGUAUGACAUCGAAAGAAAAAAAAACGGUGAUGUUUGUUUCUUUGUUCUUCAAUAAAGAAACCGUGUGUCCUUCUUUCCGC